rnacentral:rRNA from 1 species
UGAGGAAUAUUGGACAAUGGGCGCAAGCCUGAUCCAGCCAUGCCGCGCGCAGGAUGAAGGCCUUCGGGUUGUAAACUGCUUUUGUACGGAGCGAAAAGGUCUGCCCUAAUACGGUGGGCUCAUGACGGUACCGUAAGAAUAAGCACCGGCUAACUACGUGCCAGCAGCCGCGGUAAUACGUAGGGUGCGAGCGUUAAUCGGAAUUACUGGGCGUAAAGCGUGCGCAGGCGGUUAUAUAAGACAGAUGUGAAAUCCCCGGGCUCAACCUGGGACCUGCAUUUGUGACUGUAUAGCUAGAGUACGGUAGAGGGGGAUGGAAUUCCGCGUGUAGCAGUGAAAUGCGUAGAUAUGCGGAGGAACACCGAUGGCGAAGGCAAUCCCCUGGACCUGUACUGACGCUCAUGCACGAAAGCGUGGGGAGCAAACA